rnacentral:rRNA from 1 species
UCCUUCUUUUUCCCUCUUUCUCCUGAUUUACUGGGUUUAAAGGGUGCGUAGGUGGACAGGAAAGUCAGUGGUGAAAUCUUCGAGCUUAACUCGGAAACUGCCAUUGAUACUAUUUGUCUUGAAUACUUUGGAGGUAAGCGGAAUAUGUCAUGUAGCGGUGAAAUGCUUAGAUAUGACAUAGAACACCAAUUGCGAAGGCAGCUCACUACACAGUUAUUGACACUGAGGCACGAAAGCGUGGGGAUCAAACAGG